UUUGGCUUCAUUAAAGUGAUCCUGAUCCCGUCCAGAACCCAGAUUCGGUCCUCGUGUCUUUGUAUUCUUCUUCUGCCAGCAGCCAGAGUUCAUUACAACUCAUCAGUCUUUAGAAACUCAGUCGAUUAUUUCAGACUGAUCCAGUGCUCCGUCACACUCAGACUGUUUCUGUUCCACAGUAAACGCAUCAGCAGGUGGGAGGCUCCGGUGAGGUCUGCUGCAGGAAGCUGCAGGUGGCAGGUUGAGCCGAAGCAUCUCAGAGCAUCCCGUUCGGCAGCUGAUGAAGCUGAUCUACAGCAGACAGAUCAAACGGAGGUUUCUCCAGACAUUAAAAGGCUCCUAACAGCCAGACAGAAGAAAGCAGUUCUUUCCGGGUUUGGUGACAUCCGUCUGAGGCUUCCAGGUUCGGGAACGCGACACCAGCUGUGUUUGGGUGUUUCUACGCUGAUCAGCAGAAACAAACAGAAACAACAGGAGGUCUUCAGCGUCUCUCAGGUUUCUACAUUCUGUCACUCAGUCGUCCUGAAUCAAGUGAAUCUGACCCUCAGAUCAAUGAAACUCACAGAGUGAUGUAAACAAACACACUAACAAGAGUAAACACUCUGCAGGCUCCGCCUCCAGCUCUGAAGACUGUAGCCUCACCCCUGUAGGCUCCGCCUCCAGCACCUGAUUCACUAUCUUUGAUGCGAGAUGCAGCAGGAGGAGGUCUCGGUCCACCAGCUCGGGCCGACUCUGUUUACUUCGUGCCGACCCAGUUCUCCACCACCAACGGGACCGCGAUUAGCUGAUGAGACACUUCUUCACAGAUGCAGAAUCAUCAGGAAGCUUCUGGUGAUUCAUCUUCAGUGAGAAAAUAAAAGGAGUUACGGCUCGUUAACAGGAAGCAGCUGGUUCAGAAGUGAGCGUGUGCACUAGCGUUCCAGCUGAUUCAGACGAUUCCCGCAUCCACCAUCCUCAUCCGUCUGUUAGAGCAGCGGGCUGGACAGGAAGAGCCCCAAUCUGAUGGAACAGAACAUCUAGUCCCAGUUUAUUAUCAGUCAGAGUUACUGCAGGUAAUUAGGUGUGUGUGUGUGUGUGUGCGUGUGUGUGUGUGUGUGCGUGUGUGUGUGU
rnacentral:lncRNA from 1 species